CCUGGCCCAAGGCCCCCACCCCCACCCUGUGCAGGCACUCUUGUAGAGGUGGAUGCACGGGAAGGAGGCCAGGCCCCUCGGGUCAAAAUGCAAUGAUCCAGGUGUCCUGGGCCAGUCGAGGGGCCCUGGGUGCCUGCUCUGUCCUGCUGCUGACAAAUCCCCACUUCCCCAGGUCCUGGAAGGCCAGGUGUGCUCCCUUCCCAGGAAGAGGCUCCGGAGUUUUCCUGCCUUAACUCAGUCAUUCAAACACCCUCCCUGAUACGUCCUGGGAACCGAGGUAACUCUGGAGGCAGGGAGGCCAGGGAGCAGGCUACUGGAGAGGUCCAGCUUGAGAGAAGCUGGGGCCUGAGCUUGCUAGACUACAUUUCCCAGCUUCCCUUGCAGUUAGAUGUGGCCAUGUGACUGAAUUCUAACCAAUGGAAUUUGAGAGGAAAUGAUGUCAUCACCUCCUGGACUGGCUGCUAUACCAAUGGCUGCUCUCCAUGCUCUUUCUCCUUCUGCUGGCUUGAUGCAGACCAGUGUGGUGACCUUGGAACCAUGUUGAAGAUGGCAGAGCCACAAAACGGAAGGAGCCUGGGUCUCAGCAUCACCACUCCACCAUGUAGAACACCUGCUUCAGAAUUUCCGUGACCAAGAAAUAAACUUCUAUGAUGCUUAAGUCCUUA